rnacentral:rRNA from 1 species
ACAGGGAUUGCCCCAGUAACGGCGGAGUGAAGCGGCAACAGCUCAAAUUUGAAAUCUGGCCCUUUCAGGGCCCGAGUUGUAAUUUGCAGAGGGCGCUUUGGCGUUGGCUCCUGCCUAAGUUCCUUGGAACAGGACGUCAUAGAGGGUGAGAACCCCGUACGUGGCAGGCCGCCUUCGCCGUGUAAAGCCCCUUCGACGAGUCGAGUUGUUUGGGAAUGCAGCUCUAAAUGGGAGGUAAAUUCCUUCUAAAGCUAAAUACUGGCCAGAGACCGAUAGCGCACAAGUAGAGUGAUCGAAAGAUGAAAAGCACUUUGGAAAGAGAGUCAAAAAGCACGUGAAAUUGUUGAAAGGGAAGCGCUUGCAGCCAGACUUGCCUGCAGUUGUUCAUCCGGGCUCCCGCCCGGUGCACUCUUCUGCGGGCAGGCCAGCAUCAGUUUGGGCGGCCGGAUAAAGGCCCCAGGAACGUAGCUCUCUCCGGGGAGUGUUAUAGCCUGGGGCGCAAUGCGGCCAGCCCGGACUGAGGUCCGCGCAUCUGCUAGGAUGCUGGCGUAAUGGCUGUAAGCGGCCCGUCUUGAAACACGGACCAAGGAGUCUAACAUCUAUGCGAGUGUUUGGGUGUAAAGCCCGGGCGCGUAAUGAAAGUGAACGGAGGUGGGAACCCCCUGGGGUGCACCAUCGACCGAUCCUGAUGUCUUCGGAUGGAUUUGAGUAAGAGCAUAGCUGUUGGGACCCGAAAGAUGGUGAACUAUGCCUGAAUAGGGUGAAGCCAGAGGAAACUCUGGUGGAGGCUCGCAGCGGUUCUGACGUGCAAAUCGCUCGUCAAAUUUGGGCAUAGGGGCGAAAGACUAAUCGAACU